GAUGAACGCUGGCGGCGUGCCUAAUACAUGCAAGUCGAGCGAACAGACGAGGAGCUUGCUCCUCUGACGUUAGCGGCGGACGGGUGAGUAACACGUGGAUAACCUGCCUAUAAGACUGGGAUAACUACGGGAAACCGGAGCUAAUACCGGAUAAUAUAUUGAACCGCAUGGUUCAAUAGUGAAAGACGGUUUUGCUGUCACUUAUAGAUGGAUCCGCGCCGCAUUAGCUAGUUGGUAAGGUAACGGCUUACCAAGGCAACGAUGCGUAGCCGACCUGAGAGGGUGAUCGGCCACACUGGAACUGAGACACGGUCCAGACUCCUACGGGAGGCAGCAGUAGGGAAUCUUCCGCAAUGGGCGAAAGCCUGACGGAGCAACGCCGCGUGAGUGAUGAAGGUCUUCGGAUCGUAAAACUCUGUUAUUAGGGAAGAACAAAUGUGUAAGUAACUAUGCACGUCUUGACGGUACCUAAUCAGAAAGCCACGGCUAACUACGUG
rnacentral:rRNA from 1 species